UCCCCGCGGGGCCGGCGGGGUCCUACCUGGGGCGCGUUGGUGUCCGGGCCCGGCCCAGCGGGCGGCGGGGCCCCCGGGAGCCAGGAGAGGUUUAUGCGGAAUUUGGGCCUGUCUCUGAAGUUCUUUGAGCGCGUCUUUCAGAAAGUGGGCCGGCCCCGUGGGCUGCUGUGUGGCUUCGGCCGCAACAGGGCGGGAAGAGGCUCGAUCCUUCGGCCGCGCUGCAGUCGGAGCCCGGUGGCGGGUUCUCGGCCUUGACCCGCUGGGAGGUCUGUCUCAGAAAGUGCUUUGUUGUUAUUAUUAUGAACACGUACUGCUGGCGGUACAGAAUUAGGACACACCAGGGAAGGGGAGGAAUGACGGCGCGCCGUCCGUCCCGGAGGAAACACGGAAGGUGUCGGCUCCGGGUGCCCCGGGGCGCCCACCUGUGACCCCGUGGCCCGGCGGUGUGCGCCCGCGGCGGUGCCGGCUCGGUGUGCCCAGGCCGCGAGCAUCGAGCAUCGGAGCAUCGGGGACUGCCCGCUGCAAACGCGGAGCCGCGCCAGGCACCAGGACCAGCAGCCGGCCCCGGUACAGGAGAGGGCAUGGUCCGCGCAGGCCUGCGGUGCCAAGCCCGUGAGCCCCAGAAAAUGCUGGGGAGCUACCGGAUGGAAGUGCUGAGAGCGUCGGGGAGAAAUCGGAGGAGCACCAGCGUCCCUGGAAUGCCAGGCCGAUUUGCCAGUUAGAUACUUUGUAUUAGCUUCCCGAGAAGCCUCCAAGAAUAGUCAACGACUAGCAAUAAACCCAAAGCACUAACACGUUACAGCCCUGAAACCACACAGUGCAAAUGCUGUGAUUGUGUGAUGCAAUACAAACUUCCCCUAUCCCUGGCGUAUCCCAGGAACUCUCUGGGAGAAUCGGUGAAUGGAAGGAAACACGCUGAGCAGCCUUAUGGCGGGAAGAGCCACCCUGCUGUCAUGCUGCCCACAAAUGGAGGGGCCCACUUUCAAGAUGCCUGGAUCCCAGUCUCUGAAAAUAUGGGAGCAGCCAGGUGGUACUUCCUUCACUUCCUGUGGAGGCAGACAGAGCCCUACGGUGGGAGCCAGAAGCCUGUGUUCCCACACACGCAGGGGUUCUGGAGUCCGCCUCUGAGCCUUGAACAAAUCGCUUUUUGCCUGUGAAUCUUAGUUCACCUAUCAUUAACAUUUUGGAUUUGGAUUUGGGUUAGAUCUAUGAUUGCUGCACCGAAGCGCCUAGGGCAGGCAGGGCCCUGGGCUCCUCUGAUUCUGAUUCUGUGAUUUUUUGAUUAAAUGUAAGGGACAGAUAUGAAAAAGAUUUUGUUGACACUUGCCCUACUGGGAAAAUCGUAAGUGGGUUUCAAACAUAUUCGGUUGUAGGUACGAUUUGGUUAAUAGAUUCCUAUCAACUAAAUUGAUAGGUAUCUAUCGAUUCAAACAGGACAGCAAUGAAACACAUGCUAUUUCUGAACAAAAAGGCAGAACCACAUUCCUAGUUGAGUGUUUUUCUGCCACCAUACACCAUUCCCAAUUUCUCCUACCCCACUGGAGUAAGUAUAUGGAAAUGCCAUCAGUGGCUACAGGUAAAAUGCUGCUGCUGCCAUCAUUACCACCAGGAAAGCUGUUGGUGGCCCAAGACCCUGAUUUCCAGCUCAACCAAAGCCAGAAUUGGGAAGUGGGCAACAGCACAUCUCGUGCCCAGUGGAGGUGCAAAGGCGCAAGGAAACAGAGGAGUACAUGCACUGCAUGGUCCAGCCCCUGGCAGGAUCUGCCCCUCGGAGGUCCUCGUGGAAGACCAGUGGGAGAGACAACUUCUGCUUCUGGCUCUUCCAGUGUAGCCAUUGCUAGUGGUUGCUGCAAGUUGCUAGUGGUUGCAUUAGCCAUUCACUAGCAAAGGCCCAGAAUGUGUUCAUCCUGAUGUCUCCAACUCCAAUCCAUUGCUACAUGGAUCCUUCUAGCCUCUUCCCUUGCUACUUUCAGUGAGAAACCUGGCUCCUGCCCACUACCCACUGUCCAUUUACUUCAUUGUCUGAUUACAGAACUCAUGUACAGCAGUGUCACCUAAGAGAUCUUUGACCAAUGCACCACUGGGGAUGGCCAUCUGUGCAGUCUUCCAUCCCUUCCCCUCUAUGCACACACACACAUACAUGUACUCCUGUCUUCUCCUCUGCCCUGUCCCCCACUCCCAGGCCCUCCAUCUGGCCCUAACCCUGGAAUUCCUGUUUAUUUCUAUACAGCGCAUUUUGUUUCCCCUUGUUUAGUUCAUACCCUGGUGGCCUCCCCUUCCUAUGUUCCAAAGCAAAUACAGUUCCCUUUCUACAAAAUACCCUGGUGUCCUCCUUAAAGUACCUUCCCAAGCCCAAUUAGGCUCGGAGUCUGGUCUUUAGUCCAUAGAUGCUGGGUGUGACCGGCCCUCCCUGGGCAGUGGCAUCCAUUGUCAGGCAGGUCUCCUGACCACAGAGGCCAGAGUGGAAAAGGGGUCAUGGGAGGGGCACCGGGUAUGGUAGGCACAACAGCCCAGGUGGACAGGAGGAGGAACACGCCAGGAGUUGUGGGGGAAAUGGCACAGAGAUAAGUUUGAGGGUUAUUUCAGAAGCAGAACAAUGGAAGGUCUAGUUGAUUGUAGCAGUCAAAGGAGAGAAAAAUUAAUCACAUAAGACUCUCAUGUUUUAUGGCGGGCUGACAGGUCUUCGUGAGGUGUUACUCAGUGAAGACUGAAAAUAUUUUCCUCCCAGGUGUUUGCAUUUUAAUGAGACUCCUGGUCUAGAAUUCAGAAUUGGCAAAGAGAUUUCAAGUGCACAUCAACUGCAGGAGCAAUGCAGUGGUUGCUCGCAGCAGGAGUUAGGAAGGUCUCCUGCUUCCAGACCCAGCAGGUGACAUGCUGUGAUGUUAGUGAUGCCUGUGUGGUUGGGGAAGACUGGGGCAAGGUUGGGAGACCCAGGGCACUUUUGGUUGUCCUAGUUCUAUCUGCAAGUUUCCUUCUAGUUCAGGGAUUUUUCGGUGAAUUGUUAAGUACUAAAAACUACCAUUGGAGGUGAUCAUUUUGAGCAAAGUCUCCAUGUCAUAUCCUGCAGGCAGCAUCCUUCCUUGUCUACUGUAAAGGCAGUCCUAUAUUCCUGGCUAAAAUAGCCAAGGAGCUGGAAGGUAGCCUGAUAAUAAUGAGUUCCUUAAAACUGACCUAGGACUUUAGUCAGAGCACUGUCUUAUAAGGCAACAGUGAACUAAUCAGUACUUCAGUGGAUUAGGUAUCAGCCACGAAACCAUGUUUUUCAGACCUUAUAAUACUUCAUUUUUUAAAGAUUGUAUUUAUUCAUGAGAGACACACAGAGAGAGAGAGAGAGAGGCAGAGACACAGGCAGAGGGAGAAGCAGGCUCCCCACGAGGAGCCCAAUGUGGGACUUGAUCCUGGGACUCCAGGAAUCACGCCCUAAACUGAAGGCAGGUGCCCAACCACUGAGCCACCCAGGCAUCCCAAGACCUUAUAAUACUUUACAUAUUAAGGGAGAAAACUUAAAAUGAGAAUUUUGUGGGCACAAAGAGUGAUGAGAAAAUUUUGUGUGUGUGUGCACGUGCACACUCACACACACACACAGGCAUGCACAUGUACAUGUGUGUAAAUAUACACCUGUAUGGGAUCUUCAGAAGCAGAGAAUGCAAAAUAUGGCAUUUUCAUAAGAAACAGAAAAAGGCCCUUCUUUCUCAAAAUACCUCACUUCUAUCCGGCAGGAAGUUCUCAUAGUAAAUAUAUAAAUUAUGAUAUUAUAAUAAAUCAUAAAAAUUAUUUAUUAAUAUUAAUCUAUGAUAUUGUACCUUUAAUUAAUGCAUAACCUGUACAACUAUAUGUGGUAUACAUGGCCAGAAGUAGAGUGAGAUGCAAUGACACAGCAAGAAGUCAGGGGAGCAGACAGUCGGAAAAUGGCUUCCUGAGGUGCCGGGGUGGCUCAGUUGUUGAAUGACUGACUCUUGAUUUUGGCUCAGGUCAUGAUCUCCGGGUGGUGGGAUUGAGUGCUGCAUUGGCCUCCAUGCUCAGCACAGAGUCUCCUUGUCCCUCUCCCUCUGCUCCUCUCUACCUCUUGUGCACGCACAUUCUGUCUCAAGUAAAUAAAUAAAUAAAAUCUUUUUUUUUUUAAAGGAAAAAAAUGACUUCCCUGUUAGCAUAUGAAGCCAUGGAAUUAUAACAAUGAGAUCUACUCUUAUUGGGUUUUCUGGUGCACAACUAGUUAUCAUUUAGUAAAGCACUUCAAGCAGGCAAGCAUCUGGCACAUGCAGAACCGUGCAUGAAAUAGCCCACGUCUUGACAUCCUCCACUUGUACUUCGCUGUCUGGACCCACAGUCAAUGCCAGCAGUACAGGAAGUUGGGAUGGGACCGAAUUAAGCUAAGUAGGGGACGAGGUAAUUAGCCACGGCAGCACCCUGUGAUUGUAAAGUAGUCAAACUCAUAGCAGAGAUGUGAAGAUAAUUCUACAGACAUUUCAAAGAUCAUUGUGAAGGACAAUGGAUGUUUAGACGCACGUUAAAAGAGCAGUUACUUUAUUCGUACUUUAUAUGCAGCUUUCUGAUUGCUUUUAUUUUAUUUUAUUUAUUUAUAUUUUUUUUAUUUUUUCUUUUUUUUUUUAAA